rnacentral:rRNA from 1 species
AACGAACGCUGGCGGCGUGCUUAACACAUGCAAGUCGAACGGAAAGGCCCUGCUUUUGUGGGGUGCUCGAGUGGCGAACGGGUGAGUAACACGUGAGUAACCUGCCCUUGACUUUGGGAUAACUUCAGGAAACUGGGGCUAAUACCGGAUAGGAGCUCCUGCUGCAUGGUGGGGGUUGGAAAGUUUCGGCUGUUGGGGAUGGACUCGCGGCUUAUCAGCUUGUUGGUUGGGUAGUGGCUUACCAAGGCUUUGACGGGUAGCCGGCCUGAGAGGGUGACCGGCCACAUUGGGACUGAGCUACGGCCCAGACUACUACGGGACGCAGCAGUGGGGAAUAUUGCACUAUGGGCGGAAGCCUGAUGCAGCCACGCCGCGUGCGGGAUGACGUCCUGCGGGUUGUAAAGCGCUUUCGUCUUUGACGAAGCGUGAGUGACGGUAAUGGGUAAAGAAGCACCGGCUAACUACGUG